GGUGAACGCUGGCGGCGUGCCUAAGGUAUGCAAGUCGAACGGUCCCGAUUUAUCGGGAUAGUGGCGAACGGGUGAGUAACACGUUGGAACCUGUCCCGAAGUGGAGCAUAGCUCCGGGAAACCGGAAUUAAUACUCCAUAGUCCCAAGCACCUUUUGUAACUACUGCGUUUUAUCAAAUUUUGAUAAAGCUUGGUGAACUGCAAAAGGUGCUUGGGUAAAGCUUUACGCGCUUUGGGAGGGGCUCGCGUCCGAUUAGCUUGUUGGUGAGGUAAAGGCUCACCAAGGCGAUGAUCGGUAGCUGGUCUGAGAGGAUGAUCAGCCACACUGGAACUGAGACACGGUCCAGACCCCG
rnacentral:rRNA from 1 species